UUUUAUUUUUCCUCCUUCUUCCUCUUUCUAUCACUACUACGAUUUACUAUUUGCGCGACGGAAGUUUGCGCGACGAACAUAUUUUCGUUGCGCAAAAAUCACUAUUGCGACGAAAAAAAAAUACCGUAGCGCAAACAGCAGAACACUAGCGCGACGAAACAUCUUCGUCGCGCAAACAAUCUAUGCGCGACCAAAACUAAUUUGGUCGAGCAAAAGUCGGGGAAAAAACCCCGGUUUUUUU
rnacentral:lncRNA from 1 species